CGUCUAUAUACGUAUAGCAUAUCAAUAAGCGGAGGAAAAGAAACUAACUAGGAUUCCCUCAGUAACGGCGAGUGAAGCGGGAAGAGCUCAAAUUUGAAAUCUUCAAGGGUUUACCUUGACGAAUUGUAGUUUAAAGAAGUGUUUUCUGUUGGUGUUUUGGUAAAAGUUCUUUGGAAUAGGACAUCAUAGAGGGUGAGAAUCCCGUAUUUGACCAUUUCUUCCAGCUGUGUGAUACACUUUCAAAGAGUCGGAUUGUUUGGGAAUGCAGUCCAAAAUGGGUGGUAAAUUUCAUCUAAAGCUAAAUAUUGGCGAGAGACCGAUAGCGAACAAGUACCGUGAGGGAAAGAUGAAAAGAACUUUGAAAAGAGAGUUAAACAGUACGUGAAAUUGUCAAAAGGGAAGCGUUUGACACCAGUGUUGUUUUUCCGAAAAUCAAUUACGAAUGUUUUAUUUUUGAGAAGUUAUGACUUCAUCGGCUUGCUUCUCUCUUUACGAAACUUUCUUAAUGCACUUUUCGGUUAACACGUCAACAUCAAUUUCUUUUGUUGUAAAAGGGUAUGAGGAAGGUGGCUUUCUUUUCGGAGAAAGUGUUUAUAGCCUUGUACCUCUGCAAUCGGAGAGAUUGAGGUCUGCAGCGUAGAUCCUUCGGGGUUAGAUACAUUUGUGCUAAGUUAUAGCUUUUCAUAGACAACUUGUUGACUAUGUUAAGUCUUGUAGCUUACUCGCUUAUGCUAUUUUACCUACGCUUAGGAUGUUGAUAUGCAUGACUGAUAU
rnacentral:rRNA from 1 species